rnacentral:rRNA from 1 species
GGGAAGUGGGGGGUUCCUUUACAAUGGCAAGUCGAACGAUGAAGGGAGCUUGCUCCUGGAUUAGUGGCGAACGGGUGAGUAACACGUGAGUAACCUGCCCUUGACUCUGGGAUAAGCCUGGGAAACUGGGUCUAAUACCGGAUAUGACCUUCCAUCGCAUGGUGGUUGGUGGAAAGCUUUUGUGGUUUUGGAUGGACUCGCGGCCUAUCAGCUUGUUGGUGGGGUAAUGGCCUACCAAGGCGACGACGGGUAGCCGGCCUGAGAGGGUGACCGGCCACACUGGGACUGAGACACGGCCCAGACUCCUACGGGAGGCAGCAGUGGGGAAUAUUGCACAAUGGGCGCAAGCCUGAUGCAGCGACGCCGCGUGAGGGAUGACGGCCUUCGGGUUGUAAACCUCUUUCAGUAGGGAAGAAGCGAGAGUGACGGUACCUGCAGAAGAAGCGCCGGCUAACUACGUGCCAGCAGCCGCGGUAAUACGUAGGGCGCAAGCGUUAUCCGGAAUUAUUGGGCGUAAAGAGCUCGUAGGCGGUUUGUCGCGUCUGCCGUGAAAGUCCGGGGCUCAACUCCGGAUCUGCGGUGGGUACGGGCAGACUAGAGUGAUGUAGGGGAGACUGGAAUUCCUGGUGUAGCGGUGAAAUGCGCAGAUAUCAGGAGGAACACCGAUGGCGAAGGCAGGUCUCUGGGCAUUAACUGACGCUGAGGAGCGAAAGCAUGGGGAGCGAACAGGAUUAGAUACCCUGGUAGUCCAUGCCGUAAACGUUGGGCACUAGGUGUGGGGGACAUUCCACGUUUUCCGCGCCGUAGCUAACGCAUUAAGUGCCCCGCCUGGGGAGUACGGCCGCAAGGCUAAAACUCAAGGAUUGACGGGGCCCGCACAAGCGGCGGAGCAUGCGGAUAAUCGAUGCACGCGAGACUUACCAAGGCUUGACAUGACCGGACCGGCUGAAACAGUCUUUCCCUGUGGCUGUUACAGUGGUGCAUGUGUCGUCAGCUCGUGUCGUGAGAAUGUGGGUAGUCCCGCACGAGCGCACCUCGUUCUUAUGUGCCAGACUGAUGGUGGGACUCAUAAGAAACUGCGGGGUCAACUCGAGAA